rnacentral:rRNA from 1 species
UACGUAGGGUGCAAGCGUUGUCCGGAAUCAUUGGGCGUAAAGAGCUCGUAGGCGGCUUGUCACGUCGGAUGUGAAAGCCCGAGGCUUAACCUCGGGUCUGCAUUCGAUACGGGCUAGCUAGAGUGUGGUAGGGGAGAUCGGAAUUCCUGGUGUAGCGGUGAAAUGCGCAGAUAUCAGGAGGAACACCGGUGGCGAAGGCGGAUCUCUGGGCCCUUACUGACGCUGAGGAGCGAAAGCGUGGGGAGCGAACAGG